rnacentral:lncRNA from 10 species
GGGCACAACCCCGAGCUGGUUGCACUAACACACAGGCUGGGGGAAAUGAGUACACUGGCCAGUGUUGGGAUCAGGGAGGAGAGAUUCUGUGUGUUCUGGGGUGCCGAUGAGCAGAAGCUGGCUGCUCUGGUCCUCUUCAUCAAAUAGGAAUGCUGUUUAAGAGAACCAUAUUCUACGAAUGCUUCCUCUUUGACAAAACCCUUGGGCCUUUACUCUGUGCUUUCAUAAGAGGAAAAUUGCAAUUACAAAGUUUUGAACAUAGUUACCUAUGAGUGGGGAUAUGAGAACAAUAGCAGGAGAAAAUGGAGAUCAUCAUUCUACGCAGCACCAGCUUAAGUCAGCUGAGUAGAAAAUAACAGGUUUCAACACAAACAUCUGUACAGACCUCACUCUGGAGAAAUUACUUUGCGUGGAACCCAGGAAAUUAGUUGGAAGAAUUUGUUCACUGUCUCUUUCAAGUUUUAACAGCUUUACUUAAGAACUCAACUAGCAGAUGAUUUCUUUCCAUUGCUUUCUAAAUCAAUCACAAAUGUCUCUUUGAGAAAAGACCAAUGAAAAUUAAGUAGUAGUAAGAAGAGACACACCAGUGAUUGCAAAGUGGAGAGGCUGGCUUCCCUCUGUUAUGGACUGGAUUCUGUACCCCCAAAUUCAUAGGUAAACCCUAACUCUCAAUGUGAUGGUAUUUGGAGAUAGGGCCUUGAAGGAGAUAAUUGAGGUGAAAGGAAAUCAUAAAGGUGGAGCCCUGAGCCAAUAUGACUAGUGUGCUCAUGAGAAGAGGAAGAGACACCAGGGAUGCGCACACCCAGAGAAAAGGCCAUGGGAGGACACAGCAAAAAGGUGGCCAUCUGCAAGCCAAGGAGAGAGGCCUCAGGAGAAAUCAAACCUGCCGACCCCUUGAUCUUGGACUUCCAGCCACCAGAACUGUGAGAAAAUAAAUGUCUGUAGUUUAAAACCACACGAUCUGUGCUAUUUUGUUAUGACAGCCCUAGCAGACUAAUAUAGCCUCCAAGUUAAGAGCCAAACUUCCUGUGAGUGCCCUGUCAUUGACCAAGUGGCUUCUAGAACCACUUCAGCCCAUGACUCCUCCACCAGACAUUGUCAGUGCGAAGAGAGUUUUAGGGCCACAGCCAUGAAGAGCUUGAAUGAAACCAGCAGAGCGUUGCAGGGCAGCCUCUGUUUGACCUUCCACUCGGGAAGGAUUAAUGGCCAGCCCUUUGUGUUAGGAGAGGAUGCUCUGGCCACAUGCAGCCAGACAUGGGGGAGUGUUGUUUCCCAGUUCCAGUGAUAGGUUGGCCUACGCUGGUCUCAUGCUCACACUUGGUUCUCCUAGGUCACAAGUUAGCAGGAAGUAAGCAGGGGGUCAGGGUAGGGCUAUUAUUGUUGGCUGAAGCAUAGACUAGAGCAAUUGAUCUGUACAGUAUUGGACCCACAUCUAACUCUGGGGCCCCAGUUGUCUUGGCUUUUUCCAGCUUUGAUUUCACUGCCUCUCUGAGAGUCAGUUUUUCCUACUAAUGGAAUGUUUUCAAAGUGAGCUCAAGCCCAUGCUCAGUGGGAAAUUCUUCCCUGAAAUCAUUUGUCACAGAAUCAUUUGGCCAUCUAAGACGUUUAUUAUCCUACUUACUGGCAGUAAGUUUCAUAGAAGAGCACAAGAUACUCUGUAGAUUUUUGUUCCCCUUAAAAAGCUGAUAUUCUAGAAUCUGUCCAACAU